rnacentral:rRNA from 1 species
UGGGGGAUAUUGCACAAUGGGCGAAAGCCUGAUGCAGCGACGCCGCGUGGGGGAUGAAGGCUUUCGGGUUGUAAACCUCUUUCGCUAUCGAACAAGGCCCGCUUAGGGUGGGUUGAGGGUAGGUGGAGAAGAAGCGCCGGCUAACUACGUGCCAGCAGCCGCGGUAAUACGUAAGGCGCGAGCGUUGUCCGGAAUUAUUGGGCGUAAAGGGCUUGUAGGCGGGUUGUUGCGCCUGCUGUGAAAACGCGGGGCUUAACUUCGCGCGUGCAGUGGGUACGGGCAGGCUUGAGUGUGGUAGGGGUGACUGGAAUUCCAGGUGUAGCGGUGGAAUGCGCAGAUAUCUGGAGGAACACCGAUGGCGAAGGCAGGUCACUGGGCCAUUACUGACGCUGAGGAGCGAAAGCAUGGGUAGCGAACAGG